UCCUCCAUAGUUCAGUCGGUAGAACGGCGGACUGUUUCGGUAGAACGGCGGACUGUUAAUCCGUAUGUCGCUGGUUCAAGUCCAGCUGGAGGAGCCA
rnacentral:tRNA from 1 species